GACGAACGCUGGCGGCGUGCCUAAUACAUGCAAGUCGAGCGAUGAUUAAAGAUAGCUUGCUAUUUUUAUGAAGAGCGGCGAACGGGUGAGUAACGCGUGGGAAAUCUGCCGAGUAGCGGGGGACAACGUUUGGAAACGAACGCUAAUACCGCAUAACAAUGAGAAUCGCAUGAUUCUUAUUUGAAAGAAGCAAUUGCUUCACUACUUGAUGAUCCCGCGUUGUAUUAGCUAGUUGGUAGUGUAAAGGACUACCAAGGCGAUGAUACAUAGCCGACCUGGUAGGGUGAACGGCCACAGUGGGACUGAGACACGGCCCAGACUCCUACGGGAGGCAGCAGUAGGGAAUCUUCGGCAAUGGGGGCAACCCUGACCGAGCAACGCCGCGUGAGUGAAGAAGGUUUUCGGAUCGUAAAACUCUGUUGUUAGAGAAGAACGUUAAGUAGAGUGGAAAAUUACUUAAGUGACGGUAUCUAACCAGAAGGGGACGGCUAACUACGUGCCAGCCGCCGCCGUAA
rnacentral:rRNA from 1 species